rnacentral:pre_miRNA from 1 species
UCGGGGGGAGGUUCUGUCCUACACUCCGGCUGUGGCUAUGGGGCAGUCAGUGCAUCACAGAACUUGGUCCCGGG